rnacentral:rRNA from 1 species
UACAGAGGUCUCAAGCGUUGUUCGGAAUUACUGGGCGUAAAGGGCUUGUAGGUGGCCAACUAAGUCAGACGUGAAAUCCCUCGGCUUAACCGGGGAACUGCGUCUGAUACUGGAUGGCUAGAGUGUGGGAGAGGGAUGCGGAAUUCCAGGUGUAGCGGUGAAAUGCGUAGAUAUCUGGAGGAACACCGGUGGCGAAGGCGGCAUCCUGGACCACGACUGACACUGAAAAGCGAAAGCCAGGGGAGCAAACGGG